GGGGUAUUAGCUCAGUUGGUUAGAGCGUCACGUUGACAUCGUGAAGGUCAGCUGUUCAAGUCA
rnacentral:tRNA from 1 species